GUCGAACUCUCGAAACUUUUGGAAUCAGAUGCUCUGAGGAAAUCUCUCAUAAAAGAUCCUUUUGAAUCCUUUUCAGGUGAAAGGUGCAUCAUUUGACCCUAAUUUUUCGAUCUCUACCUCCCACCAAUCAACUGCCUCACCUUGUAACAUGAAGAUGGCAAAGGUGACUUUCUCUUUCGUAGAACAUCGCAGGACAUGGAACAUCUUCUCUAUUGCUGUUAACCAACUUUCAACUUCCAUGG
rnacentral:lncRNA from 1 species